rnacentral:rRNA from 1 species
GACGAACGCUGGCGGCGUGCUUAACACAUGCAAGUCGAACGAACAGGCCCGGCGUUUGUGGGUUGCUCGAUUGGCGAAGAGGUGAGUAACACGUGAGUAACCUGCCCUUGACUUUGGGAGAACUUCAGGAAACUGGGGCGAAUACCGGAGAUGAGCUCCUGCUGCGUGGUGUGGGUUGGUAAGUGUCGGCGGUUGGGGAUGGACUCGCGGCUUAUCAGCUGGUUUGGGGGGUAGUUGCGUACCAAGGCUUCGACGGGUAGCCGGCCUGAGAGGGUGACCGGCCACAUUGGGACUGAGAUACGGACCAGACUCCUACGGGAGGCAGCAGUGGGGAAUAUUGCACAAUGGGCGGAAGCCUGAUGCAGCAACGCCGCGUGCGGGAUGACGGCCUUCGGGUUGUAAACCGAUUUCGCCUGUGACGAAGCGUGCGUGACGGUAAUGGGUCAAGAAGCACCGGCUAACUACGUG